rnacentral:rRNA from 1 species
UACGUAGGUGGCAAGCGUUGUCCGGAUUUACUGGGCGUAAAGAGCGCGCAGGCGGUUCAUCAAGUCGAAUGUGAAAGCCCCCGGCUCAACUGGGGAGGGUCACGCGAUACUGAUCGACUCGAAGGCAGGAGAGGGUAGUGGAAUUCCCGGUGUAGUGGUGAAAUGCGUAGAUAUCGGGAGGAACACCAGUGGCGAAGGCGACUACCUGGCCUGUUCUUGACGCUGAGGCGCGAAAGCUAGGGUAGCAAACGGG